UACAGAGGGUGCGAGCGUUAAUCGGAAUUACUGGGCGUAAAGCGCACGUAGGUGGCUUGGCAAGUCGGGUGUGAAAUCCCCGGGCUCAACCUGGGAACUGCAUUCGAGACUGCCUUGCUCGAGUAUGGGAGAGGGAAGUGGAAUUUCCGGUGUAGCGGUGAAAUGCGUAGAUAUCAGGAGGAAUACCGAUGGCGAAGGCAGGUCUCUGGGCUGACACUGACGCUCAUGCACGAAAGCGUGGGGAGCAAACAGG
rnacentral:rRNA from 1 species